UCUUUGGUUAUCUAGCUGUAUGAUUGGUUCGAUACGUCAUAAAGCUAGGUUACCGAAGCAA
rnacentral:pre_miRNA from 1 species